rnacentral:rRNA from 1 species
CGCGGCCUAUCAGCUUGUUGGUGAGGUAACGGCUCACCAAGGCAUCGACGGGUAGCUGGUCUGAGAGGACGAUCAGCCACACUGGGACUGAGACACGGCCCAGACUCCUACGGGAGGCAGCAGUAGGGAAUCUUGCGCAAUGGGGGCAACCCUGACGCAGCAACGCCGCGUGUGGGAUGACGGCUUUCGGGUUGUAAACCACUUUCAGUGAUGACGAAAAUGACGGUACCUGCAGAAGAAGCUCCGGCCAACUACGUGCCAGCAGCCGCGGUAAUACGUAGGGAGCGAGCGUUGUCCGGAAUUAUUGGGCGUAAAGAGCUCGUAGGCGGUUCAGUAAGUCGGGUGUGAAAACUCAAGGCUCAACCUUGAGACGCCACUCGAUACUGCUGUGACUUGAGUCCGGUAGAGGAGUGUGGAAUUCCUGGUGUAGCGGUGAAAUGCGCAGAUAUCAGGAGGAACACCAGCGGCGAAGGCGGCACUCUGGGCCGGUACUGACGCUGAGGAGCGAAAGCAUGGGGAGCAAACAGGAUUAGAUACCCUGGUAGUCCACGCCGUAAACGGUGGGCGCUAGGUGUGGGGAACAUUCCACGUUCUCCGUGCCGCAGCUAACGCAUUAAGCGCCCCGCCUGGGGAGUACGG